rfam:Schistosoma mansoni strain Puerto Rico chromosome 7, complete genome
AUCCAUCUGACGAGUCCCAAAUAGGACGAAAUGCGCGUCCAACUACAA